AAUAUAUCUAAAAGUUAGCCCCUCGAUUGCAAUUUUUAAUAUUUUUUCGUCCUUAAUUACUCGUAAAUAUUCAUUUUCGAUUGUUCUUAUAUAAAAUACGUUUGUUCUCUUUCGAAAUUACUCAUUUUUUGUUUAAUUAAUUGUAUUAGUUGAAUAAAUGUAUACAAAAUAUGUGUACUGCGCAUGCCAUAAGUAUAUAAUCUAUGGCGCAUGCGUCAACUAUAAUGCCUAAACUUUCUACGCGGUUUUAAUCGUGAAAAAAAAACAAUUAUAAAUCCUGAAGGAUCAAUUAAUUGGUAUACAGUUUAAUUAAAAAAAAUUUAAAAUUAAUAAAUAAAAUAAUGUGCAUUCGCGUAAAGUUAGCCCAAAUACAUUUUUUCCAUCCUCCUAUAUACCUAUCGCUAUGAAGGUAUAAAAAAGAUAGGUUAAGAGUUCACAUAGGUAAUAUAAACAAAUAAGUAAAUAUGUUCAUUAUUUAUCUUUCAAGAGAUAAUGUAGGUAUACAUUAUAAUAACAUUUUGACACAGUCGAAAUUAUAUUCCUAACAUUAGUAAAAUAACAUUUUAAUAUUUUUUUUAUAGGUUAUGUAUUGAAAUUGUUGGAAAAUUAUUUCAUGUUUUAGCUGGAAAACUACAUGGAGAAUUAUAUGCAAUACAAGAUAAUGAGCUCCAUCAAAUGAAUUCGAAUGAAACCAAACUGUUUACCAUCCAAAUUCGAUUGUCGGGCAGAUAGAAAACGAAAAUUCACUCAUAGUGAACCUCGGCCUGCAUUUGUGAAACGGCAAAGACUCACUAUUAUCAAGGAAAUUGAAGAGACGACUAAAAAUGAGAUGUGUCGUAUUAUUAUACCUUUGCCAUCUUGUAGUCAAGAUGUCCAGCCACUUGAAAAUAGGUGUAGUAAUGACAAAGCUAUCCAAGUAGCUCCAGCACAGGAACACAAAGGCAAGGCAAGUGUGUAUUGCCACAUCACCCCUUAAUAUAUCUGAAGCAAGUAUAAGUAAACAAUCAGAACCAGCAAAAAAAAAAACUGUUGUUCCUGAGGACAAAUUUGACAGUGAUGAGUCAAAUGCACCAGCAACAGAAGGAUCAACUGUUGACUAUGGGUUAUAGAAGAAGAAGAUUAAUUCAUAUUUAUUCAUUAUCGUGCAAAAUUCGUGGUCAAAACAUAUGUGUAUUUUAUAAAUAAAUAUUCAUUCUCAGUA